rnacentral:rRNA from 1 species
AAAAGUGAAAGACGGUCUUGCUGUCACUUAUAGAUGGAUCCGCGCUGCAUUAGCUAGUUGGUAAGGUAACGGCUUACCAAGGCAACGAUGCAUAGCCGACCUGAGAGGGUGAUCGGCCACACUGGAACUGAGACACGGUCCAGACUCCUACGGGAGGCAGCAGUAGGGAAUCUUCCGCAAUGGGCGAAAGCCUGACGGAGCAACGCCGCGUGAGUGAUGAAGGUCUUCGGAUCGUAAAACUCUGUUAUUAGGGAAGAACAUAUGUGUAAGUAACUGUGCACAUCUUGACGGUACCUAAUCAGAAAGCCACGGCUAACUACGUGCCAGCAGCCGCGGUAAUACGUAGGUGGCAAGCGUUAUCCGGAAUUAUUGGGCGUAAAGCGCGCGUAGGCGGUUUUUUAAGUCUGAUGUGAAAGCCCACGGCUCAACCGUGGAGGGUCAUUGGAAACUGGAAAACUUGAGUGCAGAAGAGGAAAGUGGAAUUCCAUGUGUAGCGGUGAAAUGCGCAGAGAUAUGGAGGAACACCAGUGGCGAAGGCGACUUUCUGGUCUGUAACUGACGCUGAUGUGCGAAAGCGUGGGGAUCAAACAGGAUUAGAUACCCUGGUAGUCCACGCCGUAAACGAUGAGUGCUAAGUGUUAGGGGGUUUCCGCCCCUUAGUGCUGCAGCUAACGCAU